rnacentral:piRNA from 1 species
UAGAGAACUAUAAAUUAUCUAGCCAUUUGCAA